GAUGAACGCUAGCGGCAGGCUUAACACAUGCAAGUCGAGGGGUAGAAGUCUUCGGGCUUUGAGACCGGCGCACGGGUGCGUAACGCGUAUGCAAUCUACCUUUUACAGAGGGAUAGCCCAGAGAAAAUUUGGAUUAAUACCUCAUAGUAUAAUGACCUGGCAUCAGGAUGUUAUUAAAGUCACAACGGUAAAAGAUGAGC
rnacentral:rRNA from 1 species